rnacentral:rRNA from 2 species
UACAGAGGGUGCGAGCGUUAAUCGGAAUUACUGGGCGUAAAGCGCACGUAGGCGGCUUGGUAUGUCGGGUGUGAAAUCCCCGGGCUCAACCUGGGAACUGCAUCCGAAACUGCCUUGCUAGAGUAUGGGAGAGGGAAGUGGAAUUUCCGGUGUAGCGGUGAAAUGCGUAGAUAUCGGAAGGAACAUCAGUGGCGAAGGCGACUUCCUGGACCAAUACUGACGCUCAGGUGCGAAAGCGUGGGGAGCAAACAGG